rnacentral:piRNA from 1 species
UAGCAAAGUAGGGAACUGUACCUUUUGA